UACAUCCUCCCAGGCCGUCCCUCCCCUGUUCCUCCCUCUCAUAACGUCCGGUUCUCACGCUUCUGUUUCGAGACGUGUACGCGUCUCAUACAAGUCCAGCAGCGACAGAUGCGUCUCCCCUGUCCCCUCCGGUCAGCGGCCACUGCCAGUUGGCUCUUGGCUGUUAACUGGGGAGGUGUCAGCAUGUCGAAGUGGAAAGGUUCCUAUGAAUCUGGUCGCACUUACCACGCCGAGUGGGAAAAAGAAUUUCCAUGGGUAACAAAAGCAAAAGAUGGCACUCAGCAGGCAUGUAUAUAGCUGCCGAGGAGACAGACGGUGGCUUGGAUGCUCUUCUUGACUAACCAACUGUGAAGCAGGUUCGAGCUACGGUGUCGGCAGGAGUGACGUCAGCCACGGAGGUGAGGAUGUUAAUGGUAGAGUGAGGAGUGGGUAGUUCCAGUCAGAGAGUCGCUCAAGCACCUGCCCUCUGCCCUACCGAAGCAGUCUCUCUGCACGCCACUCCUGCUGCUGACACCGUUCUUUGUAGGCGCGCUGCCUUUUGUACACAUUAAAGAAGAAAAAUUUACAAGAUUUUUGUUUUACUGCCACAAGCUAUCUAGUCAGCAUGACGAGCAAGUUCGACUUGAAAUUGAUUCCCGAGUACGACGGCAGCGGUGUGCAGUCUGACGGAUGAAUGACAAGGCC
rnacentral:misc_RNA from 1 species